CACCAUCUGUCGUUAUUCACUUCUUCUUGCUCCUCGCAAAUCUCAUUAUUCCCCUCCCUCCUCCUCCUCACUGUUUUCCUAUUUUCUCUUCUCUAUUGCUCUUGAUUCAGUUCUUGGCUAAUACCCUGUCCUCCAAUUCCUCCCUCUCAGCCUAUGAUAGAUGGGCCAUCGCAUUUGUGAGAGAAUCAACUCAUGCCUCUGUCCUCUCAAGAAUUAACUCAUCGCCUAUUACAAAUGGGUCAUCGCCCCUUCAAGAAUCAACUCAUCGCCUGUUACAGAUGGUUCACC
rnacentral:misc_RNA from 1 species